rnacentral:pre_miRNA from 1 species
GUGCAUCAUGACCUUGGCUCUAGACUGCUUACUGCUUAUAGAGUCGAACAGCACAGUAACAGUCUACAGUCAUGGCUACUGAAGUCUG